CUUUUGGAUUACCAACUCGAUAUUUACCGUCAGCCACUUUAACCAUUGGAAACUGUGAUGGACAAGUACAUCUGUUGAGUAAAUCAACAACCUGUAACAAAAGAGAGAUAUUGUGUAAAGUGUAAUGUGAUGGUCAACAAAAAAAUGACAGCAAAUGAUUGCGUUGGUUGAAUUUGAUGAUGAUUAUGGUAAAAUAGUUAUUAAUAAAUAACUAAUAAAUAUAUAUGUUGGAUAAAUAUGAAUGAUUAAAGAGAAAAGAUGAAUUAAUGAUCGUUUCUACUACACAAGAAGAGUUAAAAAUUAUAACUAUUAAAUUGUGGACCAGAGAUGAUUAAACUGAACGUGGACAAAGCAAAAUGCAAAAGGAACUUAAAUUGUUGAUCCUGGUAAAACUAGUUUAAUCAUGAUGCUGAUGGUGACGGUGAUGAGGUUAAUCAAGAAACCUGACUUUAAAUAUAAAACACAGAAUCGGAUGUUAUUCGGAUAUGGUGGAAGUGAUAAACUGAAUUCACCCUAAAGGAAGAAGCAAAAUCUGAAGAAUCAAGUUAAUAGUGAAAUCAAGGAACGAAGAAGAAGAAGAAAAAGGAACCUCAAAAGAAGCUAAAUUAACUGCUAAUGGUAACACAGAAUAAUGAUUAUCGUCUUUUAUCAACGGUCUUUUUGCGUCGUAAUUACGUUGAUGAUGAUAAUACUGAUUUUUGUUGGCUUUGAUAGCAAUGAUGAUGUUGCUGUUGCUGCUGAUGAUUAAGUAGGAAAGGCUCACGCAAUCACAAGUAAAAGGAUAAGAUGGUAUUAUUUUAAUUUUGGUGAUUUACUGACCCAAACAAGGUAAUAAUUUUUAUUUAGAAGUUGUUUAGAAAAGAAAUUCAGCGCAUAAUUACAUUAUUUAAAUUAUUAUUAUCAUUAUUUUAGCAAACAGUAGCUUGAAAAUAGGAAUGGCAAAAAAGGAGCGAAAACAAAUUAAAACUGAAAACUGAGUUUCGAUCUUGGACUGUUUCAACCUCAAUUUAGUUUCUGAAAAAUUGUACAGAACUUCAACAAAAUCUUUCGACUGAAUAGAUGAGCAAAGGUGACAUAAAGAAGGCUCAUAUUGAUCAAUUUUACGCCAAAAUUGGCAAUAUUAGCCUUUUGAAAUGAAACUGCAAUUCUUUUGACAAAGACAAAAAAGAGUUAUAAAGGAUCUCAAGAUGAUGAAAAACAUGAAAAGCUUUUCUCUUUCACCUAUUUUAUCAUCUCCAUCAAUUUAUUUAAAUAGCAAGAAUUGAAUUUGUGUUAAAUCUAAAACAAAAAAGACCUUAAACUUUCACAAUUGAAACAGAAUUUACUUUGAUUUUUGUAGCAUAAAAAAAGGUUUAUCUGGUUUCUUUCAUUUUUGUAGUCAUCAAUCCAUGAAAGAUACUUUUCUUGGACUGAAAUACUUUUACUUCAAGAUAUAAAAGGAGCAAUUCAACGAAAGGAGAUCAAAAUACUGAACAAUAUAGCAACAAUAAGGUGAUUUUCGUGGCUUAUCAAUGAAAAACGAGCAAAUAUUUUAAAGCAUUUCAGAGCUUUGAAGUGAUGAUAAAAUAUUGAAAAGAAACCCUUUUUUGUUGAAAAAGACAUUAGGCGAGAAUACAAUUAAACUUAGCAUCUUUGUAAGGACCACUUUUAAUCACAUCAUCAUUAUCAGCCCAUAUAAACAUCAGUAUCAACACCAACAAUGAUGCCAAUAAGGAUGAGUUUAUGUUAAGACAGUUAACAUAAUGAUACACUUGACUCUUUACCUUUUGAUCUUGUUGUUAACCUUUGCUCAACUAACAACAAUAAUUAUCAUUGUUCGAGAAUGUGUUUGUCAAUUGUAACUCUAUUACACACACACACAACAUUUAACAAUGAAAAGCCAGUAUCUUCUGCUUGAUUUUCAACUGUUGUCAAUGAUUAUUGGGAACGGGUUAAUCAAAGUUAAUUUAUCUUCCUUUUACAUCAAUUGCAGCUAAUUGUAGCAAAUAUUUCAAAUUUGAAGACCAUUGAGAAAGAUAAAAUUCAAUGAGGAAGUAGAUAUUCCUUCCCAGAACACUCAAUUGCAAAGUUAAUUAUCCAAAAUCUGGUUGACUGGUUAUUCAGAUUAACGUUGUGAAGUUACCAACAUUAACAUUGAUCCACUGAGAAACAAGAUUCAAUUGUAAACCAAUUAAUGUUGACUAUAAACAAAAUUGUCAAAUCGCUGAAAACCGUUACAAAUUUGGGCGAGCAAUUUGGAUCAGGACAAGAAACAGUCAGUGAUUAACUUAACCAUGAAAAUAUGCAUUACGCAGGUUAAUUAUUUAACAGUGAAAUUUCAUUUUUGCUAAUCUUUCAUCUCUUAUUAUUUAAGGUUACUUGGAUGUCUUAAAAGUCUCACUUGUGAAGCAGUUUCAUACCAAGAAAAAAAACAACCCUUUUUGGGUAUUUAUGUUAAUAUCUAAGAUACCAACUCUUUCAAUCAUCUUUAACCCUGAAAAAUUAUCUCCCCGCUUAAUCAAUGUUUGAUUAAUUUAAAAGCCCAAGCCCCUCUGGUCAUUGAUUGUAUACAGUUUCCCUAGUUAAAUGAAGAUUCCCGAUGAAGAUUAAUCAAAAUUGAUCCAGGAGGAUAACAAUUACAGAAAACAACAAAACAGUUCAACCUAAUUAUGAAUCUAAAUCAUGAUCAAGACUAGAUUUGGAUAGAUGCUGAAAGAGAGACGUUGAACAAUAACCAAAAAAACCAAAUCAUCAUCAUUAACCAAGUCAAAACCAAGUGUGAGCUGAUAAUCAUUUCAACGCCACAUUCAAAAAAAUUCAACCCAAAAAAUGGUACAAAUCCUUGGGAACAAUCAACAUAGAAACCACGCAUUAUUAUGCACAAUCUACUAUGAUAUUCAAGACAAUCAGGCCAAGGUUGGAUACAACUGAAUCAAUUGUUUCUUUAAUAGUUUGUUAAACUGUUAAAAGAAAGCAACCAAAAUGGAUGAAAAUAAUCAUGUUAAUGAUUGUUUUUCAAACAACUAAACAGCAAGUCAAAUUGUUCCUGAUGAUAAUAAGUGAAAAAAGGCAACAAAAAGAUAUUCAUGAUCAACUGAUUGAAAUAUAUUCAGUAAUAAUGCACCAAUAAAUGAAACUCGAGACUACCUUAAAUGGAUGAAAAUUAAAGGCAACAUUUGAUUACCUUGCAGUUUGGAUAGAGCAAAGUCAUGAAAUUAAAUUGCAAACCUGAAACAAGAUGAUCUAAUUAACUUGAUAAUCCUGAUACUCAACUCAUCUCUUCCUGUCUCCAGUGACACAAGAAACUUGAUAUAAAGACCUAAACCUGAUCAAUCCAAAUUCAAUUCAAUUGAAAAUCUCCACGUUUCCCCAAUUCAUUAUCAUUCCAACCUAUUGAUGGUACCAAAUUGUACACAAAAGCUCAUUCCAAGACAAUCAAUAAUCAAAUAUUUGUGAAGGUUAUAAAGUAAACCUAAAAGCAAUAGUCUAGUAAUCAGUUUACCUGGAAAAGCCAAUACAAUCAACAAUCAUUAAAUUGGAAAUAUUGAUGAUUAAAGUAUUAUAAAUAUUUGGAUAUCCGGUUAUAUUAACCUGGUGAAACUGGAAUUAAAUCAUUUUCAAAGGUUACAGGUUACCAAAUGGUUCUUAAAUCACACAACAAAGUGGAAAUGAUCAACUCUAAUUGAAGCUAAAGUUAAACCUGUGUUAAAUUGUAUACAAUCAAGUAACAUACAAUUGUAAAGCAUCUCGAAUCCAGGUUUACCGGUUUAUCAUUGAUUUGGUCAAAAUUGUAAAGCAAACAUGAACCUUUCACUUGAUCCAACAAAUAUUGAUAUCAACAAUCAAUUGACUUGUAAUAUUUAAUCAUCCCAAGUUAUUAAUUAUCAAUUAACUAACUGUAAACAUGUUCAGUAGACCUUGGCUAAUUUAAUUUGCCAUCCAGUCCAUAAUCAACAUUUGCGUGACACUCAUAAAUGUACAGUGUUGUUGGUUUUUGUUAACCAACCAUGUUGUUAUGGGCUUACCAACAUCAACUAAUUGUUGUUUAACAUUUCAUUUCAUCCUUUACUAACCAUAAUGAUAAUAUAAUUAGUUAAUUUGUAAUCCUCAUCAAUUAUAAUAAAAGUUAACUCAAUCAUUACUAAAUCAUUUCAUAAGCAUUAUACUAUUAAAAAUACCUUUUCAAUGAAUUAAGUUAUAAGAGUGACUUUCCUCUUUUUUUGUUUCUUGAUUAAUUUUUAACUCAUGAAAUUAGGUAAAUCAGCUUCUUUAUAAAAUUCAAUAAAACCAAAUGUUAGUCAAAGUCUAAUCUGUUGUGGGUUAAAGUUAAUCAUUCAAUGUGAUUAAAUUGUUCCGUUUCCACUACAAUUGAAAUAACAAUUUUGUAUUCAUACUUUGUGAUAAAAAUGAAAAUUGAAAACGGAACCGAUUGUUGAUUGUCAAGAAAUUGGCGUAAAAAAUCACCCAAUAAUUAAGUCAAUUGACCUGAACCUGAAAAGUCAAUUGAUUGAGAGUAUUAACAAUAAACUCAAUUCACAUCAAAUAGAGUUGAUUUAUAAAA